AUUGAAUGCUGGCGGCAUGCCUUACACAUGCAAGUCGAACGGUAACAGGUCUUCGGAUGCUGACGAGUGGCGAACGGGUGAGUAAUACAUCGGAACGUGCCUAGUAGUGGGGGAUAACUACUCGAAAGAGUGGCUAAUACCGCAUGAGAUCUACGGAUGAAAGCAGGGGAUCGCAAGACCUUGUGCUACUAGAGCGGCCGAUGGCAGAUUCGGUAGUUGGUGGGAUAAAAGCUUACCAAGCCGACGAUCUGUAGCUGGUCUGAGAGGACGAUCAGCCACACUGGGACCGAGAGACGGCCCAGACUCCUACGGGAGGCAGCAGUGGGGAAUUUUGGACAAUGGGCGCAAGCCUGAUCCAGCAAUGCCGCGUGCAGGAUGAAGGCCUUCGGGUUGUAAACUGCUUUUGUACGGAACGAAAAGCCCCGGGUUAAUACCCUGGGGUCAUGACGGUACCGUAAGAAUAAGCACCGGCUAACUACGUGCCAGCCGCCGCCGUAA
rnacentral:rRNA from 1 species